rnacentral:tRNA from 1 species
UCCCUGGUGGUCCAGUGGUUAGGACUCUGCACUUUCACUGCCGGGGCCCCAGGUUCCAUCCCUAGUCUGGAAA